ACGAUAACGGCGUCGAGCGGCGGACGGGUGAGUAAUGCCUAGGAAAUUGCCCUGAUGUGGGGGAUAACCAUUGGAAACGAUGGCUAAUACCGCAUAAUGCCUACGGGCCAAAGAGGGGGACCUUCGGGCCUCUCGCGUCAGGAUAUGCCUAGGUGGGAUUAGCUAGUUGGUGAGGUAAUGGCUCACCAAGGCGACGAUCCCUAGCUGGUCUGAGAGGAUGAUCAGCCACACUGGAACUGAGACACGGUCCAGACUCCUACGGGAGGCAGCAGUGGGGAAUAUUGCACAAUGGGCGCAAGCCUGAUGCAGCCAUGCCGCGUGUGUGAAGAAGGCCUUCGGGUUGUAAAGCACUUUCAGUCGUGAGGAAGGUGGUGUAGUUAAUAGCUGCAUUAUUUGACGUUAGCGACAGAAGAAGCACCGGCUAACUCCGUGCCAGCAGCCGCGGUAAUACGGAGGGUGCGAGCGUUAAUCGGAAUUACUGGGCGUAAAGCGCAUGCAGGUGGUUUGUUAAGUCAGAUGUGAAAGCCCGGGGCUCAACCUCGGAAUAGCAUUUGAAACUGGCAGACUAGAGUACUGUAGAGGGGGGUAGAAUUUCAGGUGUAGCGGUGAAAUGCGUAGAGAUCUGAAGGAAUACCGGUGGC
rnacentral:rRNA from 1 species